AGAAGAGAAGAGAAACCAAGGAAGAACAAACCCUAGGUGGGAAAAAUCAAAGAGAAAGCGUUGGAAUUUAAGGAUUUGAUCAAGCAAAGGUAAAAUUUCUUUGAUUUUGCUAGUGAUUACCUUACCCAUGCAUUUUUUCUUAAUUUCCAUGUUGAAAAGCAUGCUUUCAUGGUGAAUUCAUGGCUAGUCAAAAUGGGUAUGGAGAGAGAAUGAUCUUGGAUUAGUUUGAUUUUUAGGUAUGUUAGUGUUUGUAGGUGAUUAAUGAUGUGUAGCAUCAAAACAAGUGAAGAAAACCACCAAAGGUUUGGUCCCAAUCAAUAGCCGAAUUCUCUAAGUGAAUAAUGAGGAAAAAUGGGAUGUUAUUUAAGGUGAUUUGAUUAAGAAAUAAUAGUCUUUGGUGAAUUGAGGGAUUGAAAAAGAAAUGGAGCAAGUUGGAGUGAAAUUGGACACAUUGGCCAAUUUAUCGGAUGAAAAUCGACUUAGGCCAAUACUAGGUCUAGAUGGCUACUCGUGCAUUUUUCAUUUCAUAUCAAGCAUAUAUAUCGAGCCUGAAAUAGCUUAUGACUGUUAGACACAAUUUAAUUGGAAUAUGUGACAUGGAUUAUGGCUAGGUGGUGAGCCAUUGGAUACGGGUAAAGGACUGUAUCCGCAGACUGAAAAUAGGAGUAUUUCUACUUCUAAUAUUGUGAGUAAACUUAUUAUCGUCUUAAUUAUCUAGAGUAGUUUUAUACAAUUGUGUGAUUUUAUAGAAAAUGGGUUUAAAUGGUAAAGUGCUAUGUUUUAGGAGAAAUUGUGAUUUUAUAAAUUUUCUGGAAAAUUGAAUACUGGUUUUGAAAAUAGAGUCAUUGGAGACUGCCUGCUCGUGUUAUAAAUUGUGUUUUAAAUUAUAUGGCUUAUAGCAAUAUGUGAGCAUGAAUGGGAAAGUUGGUAUUUGUAUCAAAAUUAUAUAUACUAUGUAUUCAACCUUGAGAGGCUAGAUUGCGAUAAAUUCUCAUGUCAUGCAAAUAAAGAUUUUAUAAAUCAGGUGGUAGAUAAAAUAAUCAAUAAUCCCUGUAGUGGAGGUUCUGUGGACCAGCCUAAGAGAGGGGGCACAGAAUCAGAUAUACCUUACCUCAAUAAGAGAGCUGUGUGGAGGGUGUCUUUGGAGGUAAAGAUUUGAAUGCACUUCACGUGGACCACCAAGUGAGAGUGAGACUCAGCCAACGCCAAGGCAUGGCUAGAAUUUCGGAUGUAAAGACAUUUAACAACCUUGGUGGUCUUGGUCAGAUGCCUAGGCCAAGGCAUCCCCGGGAAUGAUUUUGGUAGGAGCCAAGUUUUGUGAGAUAUAUAAGCCACGUUCAUUAAUUGAGUAAAUUGAAUAUUCAUGAUAUGAAACAUAUAUUGGAAAAGAAUAUUUUAAUUCGUCUCCAUUUACUCGCCUUUAGAUAAUUUAGAUGGUGUUUGUUUACUCAUUGGGAUUAUGUAAUCUCACCUCUCUUCCUAUCUAUUUUUCAGGCUCAGAACAGUUUUUUGAUAGUUGAUUAAGACGAGAAUUAAUCUCGGAGUUGCAUCCUAGAAAGUAAGGGUUCGUAGCCCUACACCUUAUUGGUCUGUUGGGGGCCCACGUGUCACUGAAUUCCAUAGUUAGCUGACUUUGACAAGGACUUUCAUUUGAACUUGAAUCGGCAAAAGCUGUAGGUUUUCAACUUCCGAUGCAUUUUGGUUAGAUGUGGGCCCAUGUGUCG
rnacentral:lncRNA from 1 species